rnacentral:lncRNA from 1 species
UUUCUGCUCAUCUAGCUGUGAUCAUUCUUGUGUCUGUGUUCAGCUGCUGGUUGGCUAGGCAGCUCUGUUAGUCAGCUUAGGGCUGGGGCAGUGAGGGAACUCGGCCAUAUAUCUGUCAUCGUCCAGCAGAUCAGCCCAGGCUCUUUCACACAGGGGUUGGUAGGAGGAUUCCAAAAGCAGCAAGUUAAGACAAGCUCCCACAGAGGCAAGGACAUGUGCUGGAUGUGUAUGCAGUCUUUGAAGCUGGAGAGGCCUGUGUUGGAAACUGUGCUCUGUCCCAUGCCAGUUCCCUGACCUUGGGGGACGACCCAGACCAUCAUUCUUCUCUGGUCUGCCACCUUCAUCCUCCACUUGCAGCCUCCUUUGCAGUGACCAUACAGGUCUGAAAUCCAGGUCACAGAGCCCUAACAUAACUACAAAGGAUCCUGAAAAGUGUUGUAUUCCAGUGUGCCUCGGAAAAGAAAAUAGGAUUAAUAAACUUUGAUUAGACUAAAUCAUUGA